AGAGAUUGAACAUAAGAGUUUGAUCCUGGCUCAGAUUGAACGCUGGCGGCAUGCUUUACACAUGCAAGUCGGACGGCAGCACAGGGAAGCUUGCUUCUCGGGUGGCGAGUGGCGAACGGGUGAGUAACAUAUCGGAACGUACCGGGUAGCGGGGGAUAACUGAUCGAAAGAUCAGCUAAUACCGCAUACGUCUUGAGAGGGAAAGCAGGGGACCUUCGGGUCUUGCGCUAUCCGAGCGGCCGAUAUCUGAUUAGCUGGUUGGCGGGGUAAAGGCCCACCAAGGCGACGAUCAGUAGCGGGUCUGAGAGGAUGAUCCGCCACACUGGGACUGAGACACGGCCCAGACUCCUACGGGAGGCAGCAGUGGGGAAUUUUGGACAAUGGGCGCAAGCCUGAUCCAGCCAUGCCGCGUGUCUGAAGAAGGCCUUCGGGUUGUAAAGGACUUUUGUCAGGGAAGAAAAGGCCGUUGCCAAUAUCGGCGGCCGAUGACGGUACCUGAAGAAUAAGCACCGGCUAACUACGUGCCAGCAGCCGCGGUAAUACGUAGGGUGCGAGCGUUAAUCGGAAUUACUGGGCGUAAAGCGGGCGCAGACGGUUACUUAAGCAGGAUGUGAAAUCCCCGGGCUCAACCCGGGAACUGCGUUCUGAACUGGGUGACUCGAGUGUGUCAGAGGGAGGUGGAAUUCCACGUGUAGCAGUGAAAUGCGUAGAGAUGUGGAGGAAUACCGAUGGCGAAGGCAGCCUCCUGGGAUAACACUGACGUUCAUGUCCGAAAGCGUGGGUAGCAAACAGGAUUAGAUACCCUGGUAGUCCACGCCCUAAACGAUGUCAAUUAGCUGUUGGGCAACUUGAUUGCUUGGUAGCGUAGCUAACGCGUGAAAUUGACCGCCUGGGGAGUACGGUCGCAAGAUUAAAACUCAAAGGAAUUGACGGGGACCCGCACAAGCGGUGGAUGAUGUGGAUUAAUUCGAUGCAACGCGAAGAACCUUACCUGGUUUUGACAUGUGCGGAAUCCUCCGGAGACGGAGGAGUGCCUUCGGGAGCCGUAACACAGGUGCUGCAUGGCUGUCGUCAGCUCGUGUCGUGAGAUGUUGGGUUAAGUCCCGCAACGAGCGCAACCCUUGUCAUUAGUUGCCAUCAUUCGGUUGGGCACUCUAAUGAGACUGCCGGUGACAAGCCGGAGGAAGGUGGGGAUGACGUCAAGUCCUCAUGGCCCUUAUGACCAGGGCUUCACACGUCAUACAAUGGUCGGUACAGAGGGUAGCCAAGCCGCGAGGCGGAGCCAAUCUCACAAAACCGAUCGUAGUCCGGAUUGCACUCUGCAACUCGAGUGCAUGAAGUCGGAAUCGCUAGUAAUCGCAGGUCAGCAUACUGCGGUGAAUACGUUCCCGGGUCUUGUACACACCGCCCGUCACACCAUGGGAGUGGGGGAUACCAGAAGUAGGUAGGGUAACCGCAAGGAGCCCGCUUACCACGGUAUGCUUCAUGACUGGGGUGAAGUCGUAACAAGGUAGCCGUAGGGGAACCUGCGGCUGGAUCACCUCCUUUCUAGAG
rnacentral:rRNA from 1 species